UCAAACUUGGUCAUUUAGAGGAAGUAAAAGUCGUAACAAGGUCUCCGUUGGUGAACCAGCGGAGGGAUCAUUAGCGAGUUGUCCAAAAAACUCCAAAACCUGUGUGAAUAUACCUUUUGUUGCCUCGGUAGGUCGUGCUGCCCGGGCUGGCUUAGCUACCCUGCAGGAGCUACCCUGUACUUAGUAGCGGUUACCCUGCAGCACGCAACCCGGCCUGCCGAAGGUCCCGUAAACUCUGUUUUUUUUGUACCUGUAUUUCUGAAUGCUAUACGCGAAUCAGUUAAAACUUUCAACAACGGAUCUCUUGGUUCUGGCAUCGAUGAAGAACGCAGC
rnacentral:misc_RNA from 1 species